GUUCAAACAACCAAGAGAUAUGUUAGUCCAAAGACAGAAUGAGGAGCGAACUUUUACCACUUAUUUGUGUAGAAGAGUAUGGUACCAGGGGUGCAGCUGACUCUGAUUCCCGGCUUGUUCUAAUGAAAAAAGGCAGAUGAGGCACUGGAAUCCGAAUGUAAUCAAAAAAUGCCAUUGUAUGAGGAUUGACCUGCAAUGCAUGGCAAUCAUCUUAACACAACUGCAACACCUUCCUUGGAAAAAUGAGUGCAAG